CCUACGGGAGGCAGCAGUAGGGAAUCUUCCACAAUGGGCGAAAGCCUGAUGGAGCAACGCCGCGUGGGUGAAGAAGGUCUUCGGAUCGUAAAACCCUGUUGUUAGAGAAGACAGUUCGUGAGAGUAACUGUUCACGUUUCGACGGUAUCUAACCAGACAGCCACGGCUAACUACGUGCCAGCAGCCGCGGUAAUACGUAGGUGGCAAGCGUUAUCCGGAUUUAUUGGGCGUAAAGGGAACGCAGGCGGUCUUUUAAGUCUGAUGUGAAAGCCUUCGGCUUAACCGGAGUAGUGCAUUGGAAACUGGGAGACUUGAGUGCAGAAGAGGAGAGUGGAACUCCAUGUGUAGCGGUGAAAUGCGUAGAUAUAUGGAAGAACACCAGUGGCGAAAGCGGCUCUCUGGGCUGUAACUGACGCUGAGGUUCGAAAGCGUGGGUAGCAAACAGGAUUAGAUACCCGAGUAGUC
rnacentral:rRNA from 1 species